ACCCGCUGAACUUAAGCAUAUCAAUAAGCGGAGGAAAAGAAACCAACAGGGAUUGCCCUAGUAACGGCGAGUGAAGCGGCAACAGCUCAAAUUUGAAAUCUGGCGCAAGCCCGAGUUGUAAUUUGUAGAGAAUGCUUCUAGGUAGCGACCGGUCUAAGUUCCUUGGAACAGGACGUCAUAGAGGGUGAGAAUCCCGUAUGUGACUGGCCCGCACCUUCUACGUAGCUCCUUCGACGAGUCGAGUUGUUUGGGAAUGCAGCUCUAAAUGGGAGGUAAAUUUCUUCUAAAGCUAAAUACCGGCCAGAGACCGAUAGCGCACAAGUAGAGUGAUCGAAAGAUGAAAAGCACUUUGGAAAGAGAGUUAAAAAGCACGUGAAAUUGUUGAAAGGGAAGCGCUCACAACCAGACUUCUAGGCAGUGUUCCGCCGGUCUUUUGACCGGUCUACUCUCUGUCUCGAGGCCAACAUCAUCUGGGACCGCCGGAUAAGACCUUAGGAAUGUAGCUCCCCUCGGGGAGUGUUAUAGCCUCUGGUGAUGCGGCGCGUCUCGGGUGAGGUCCGCGCUUCGGCAAGGAUGUUGGCGUAAUGGUUGUCAGCGGCCCGUCUUGAAACACGGACCAAGGAGUCUAACAUCUAUGCGAGUGUUCGGGUGUCAAACCCCUACGCGUAAUGAAAGUGAACGGAGGUGGGAAGCGUAAGCUGCACCAUCGACCGAUCCUGAUGUCCUCGGAUGGAUUUGAGCAAGAGCAUAGCUGUUGGGACCCGAAAGAUGGUGAACUAUGCCUGAAUAGGGUGAAGCCAGAGGAAACUCUGGUGGAGGCUCGCAGCGGUUCUGACGUGCAAAUCGAUCGUCAAAUUUGGGUAUAGGGGCGAAAGACUAAUCGAACCAUCUAGUAGCUGGUUCCUGCCGAAGUUUCCCUCA
rnacentral:rRNA from 1 species